rnacentral:rRNA from 1 species
GAUGAACGCUGGCGGCGUGCUUAACACAUGCAAGUCGAACGUGAAGCCGUGACUGAUUACUUCGGUAUGAUUUUGCGGUGGAAAGUGGCGAACGGGUGAGUAACACGUGGGUGACCUGCCUCAAAGCGGGGGAUAACCAUUAGAAAUGGUGGCUAAUACCGCAUGGUCCUGUUUAUAUGGGAAUAUUUACAGGUAAAACUCAGGUGCUUUGAGAGGGGCCCGCGUUCGAUUAGCUAGUUGGUGGGGUAAUGGCCCACCAAGGCAAUGAUCGAUAGCUGGUCUGAGAGGACGAUCAGUCACACGGGAACUGAGACACGGUCCCGACUCCUACGGGGGGCAGCAGUGAGGAAUAUUGCACAAUGGGGGAAACCCUGAUGCAGCAACGCCGCGUGGAGGAUGAAGGCCCUUGGGUCGUAAACUCCUUUUUUGAGGGAAGAGAAAGGACGGUACCUCAAGAAUAAGUCACGGCUAACUACG